AGUCCAAAAUAUUAGUCAAUGCUCGCAAGAGUGAACUAGCUAACUGAAAUCAAUGGUGUGUCAUCAUUGAUAACGUAAGGGAAAAGAAAUGAUAUUACCUUACUAUUAGUGUCGUCCAAAUACUCGUGCCAGAAGACUCGGUAAGGCGAGAGACGCAAACGUUAGUCGUCUUAAUCAGGCGUAAAGGGUUUGUAGGCGGCUUUAAGCAUUUAAAACUUUUAAAUAACAUACUCUUAAAAAGUAACAAAAGGAUUAAAUCAAUUAAAGCUAGAAUCAAGUAGAGGUCAAAUUAAAUAAUACUUGGUGUAAGAUUGGUAUCUUUAAAAACCAAGCGGAAUACUAACGGCGAAGGCUUUUUUCCAAUAAUGAUUGACGCUGAGAAACUAAGGUGAGGACAGAAAAAAGGAUUAGAGACCCUCGUAUUCCUCACUGUCAACGAUGAAUGGUAGUUACUAGAUAUUAUAAACAUCUAGAGACGAUGUUAACACGAAAACCAUUCCGCCUUGUGAGUACGACUGCAAAGUUGAAAACA
rnacentral:rRNA from 1 species